GGGGGGGGGGGGGGGGGGGCGGGGGACGGGCGGGUCGGGGGGGGGGACGGGGAGGGGGUGGUCGUGCGGGUGGCGGGUUGGGGGCGGGUGCGGGCUAGAGGGGAGUCUACUUUUUCGUUGUGGAUACCGGGGGGAAACUUACGCUAAUAGCGCAUACGACCUACGUGUGCAAGCAGGGGAUAUUCUGACCUUGCGCGCUUUCAUGAGACGAUGUCGCAUUAGCUAGUUGGCGGUGUCAAGGCCCACCCAGGCGACGAUCCGUAGCUGGUCUGAGAGGAUGAUCAGCCACACUGGAACUGAGACACGGUCCAGACUCCUACGAGAGGCAGCAGUGGGGAAUAUUGGACAAUGGGCGCAAGCCUGAUCCAGCCAUACCGCGUGGGUGAAGAAGGCCUGCGGGUUGUAAAGCCCUUUUGUUGGGAAAGAAAAGCAGCAGGUUAAUACCCCGCUGUUCUGACGGUACCCAAAGAAUAAGCACCGGCUAACUUCGUG
rnacentral:rRNA from 1 species